rnacentral:rRNA from 1 species
UACGGAGGGUGCAAGCGUUGUCCGGAUUUAUUGGGGUUAAAGGGUGCGUAGGCGGUUAAUUAAGUCAGUGGUGAAAGCCCGGAGCUCAACUCCGGAACUGCCAUUGAAACUGUUUAGCUGGAGUAUGAGAGAGGUGAGUGGAAUUCCCAGUGUAGAGGUGAAAUUCGUAGAUAUUGGGAAGAACACCGGUGGCGAAGGCGGCUCACUGGCUCAUUACUGACGCUCAUGCGCGACAGCGUGGGGAUCAAACAGG